UUGUUUGUAAAAUGUGAAAGAAAAAUGAAAACAAUUUCCUAUUUGCUCUCUUUGAAGUUAAGGGGGAAAAAACCCUCAGAGUAUAGCUGAAUUACCACAUAAAGCAACAUGCUUUUUUUUUAUUAUGUAAAGAUCAAAGUAGAGGGAGAAAAGUAUUGCAAGGAUCUUACUUUGAUGAGUUUGGUCACAAAUCAAAACUUGGUUUGGUGGGGGAGAUACAGACACAAAGCACUAUGUACCACGGAGUUGCUGAAUAUGUUAAAAAAGUGCUGAGCAGUAUUAAAUUAAUGCAAAACUGAAGAUUACACAAGGGUAAACACUGCAGCUAAUGUUUGACUAGAGCUGAACUGAGGGCUGAGUGCCUCCACUUAAUUUGCAGACCAUGCCCACGGCAGCCCCAGGAGGCUGGGAGUGGAGGAGACAGACAUUUUAUAGUGAGGAGCCACAUUAUUAUUUUUAAAUUUAGGGAAAAAAAAAAAAAAUCUGGCUAAAGUUACUGUUUCUAAACACUGGGGAGAGGCAACUGAGAGAAACCAAAAAAGAAGGAUCAGUGAGUGCCUUUUGGAGCUGAAAGAGAAAGAUAUGCUAAGCUAAUACCCAGACCUAUUCUUGCCAGGACCAAGGGUGGCUGGCUUUCUCAGCUGGCUCCUGUCUGACUUGUUCCCUGCUGAAAAGCAUGAAACGUCAUCACACAAGAGUUUAUCUUCAUGUCUUGAGUUUCCAGAAUUUGCAACCACAUUGACGUAGAUCUACAAGUGACAAAAGCACUGCGUUGCCAGGUCUGCUGAAGAACAGUGAGAAGAUUACAUUUUCCUCUGAAUUCAGCAGAGGUCUCCAAACAGUACUUGUCCUUCAGUUAUCUGAAGUCAAAAUGCAAAAGCAGACACCUCUCAUGAAAAGUUUGACCAAGAAGAGAAUAAUUUUCAGUGAAAAUUUGCUUAGAUGAAAAAUGUACAGCCAGCUCUGAUGCAAAGCACCUUAUGGUAAGUGCUUCCUUUCUGUUUGCUCUUGCAUCCAGCUCUGCAAUUCUGCACUGCAUUGGCCUUUA